UACCUUUGCGCCAGCUUUGGUACGAAUGCUAUGUCUGUGACGAUGGCCUUCGUUUAAAAGGGAAUCAGGUGCAAAUCCUGAGCAGUCCCCGCUGCUGUAAGCUUCACAAAAAAUGCCCUUUGCGCACUAAGCCACUGUCGGGAGAUGAUGGGAAGGCCGCAAAUGCAGAAGCAAGCCAGAAGACCUGCCAGGCAAGAUUUAAUUCA
rnacentral:ncRNA from 2 species